GGGCCCGCACAAGCGGUGGAGUAUGUGGUUUAAUUCGAUGAUAAGCGAGGAACCUUACCUGGAUUCAAUUCAAUCUGACAGACUUAGAGAUAGGUUUUUCUUCGGACAGAUUGGAAGGUGCUGCAUGGUUGUCGUCAGCUCGUGCCGUGAGGUGUUGGGUUAAGUCCCGCAACGAGCGCAACCCACGUCUUUAGUUGCCAGCAUUUAGUUGGGCACUCUAGAGAGACCGCCGGUGAUAAACCGGAGGAAGGUGUGGAUGACGUCAAGUCAUCAUGCCCCUUACAUCCUGGGCUACACACGUACUACAAUGCUACGGACAAAGAGCAGCAAGUUCGCGAGGACAAGCAAAUCUCAUAAACCGUGGCUCAGUUCAGAUCGUAGGCUGCAACUCGCCUACGUGAAGGAGGAAUCGCUAGUAA
rnacentral:rRNA from 1 species